CAGCUCGUCGUGGAGCAGAUCCUUCAGUUCGCUCUUCUUCAGUUUGCGUUUGUCUCCUUCUCUUUCCGAGUAUUUCUGGAACACGGCGAUGAUGGUAGCCAUGGAAGUCUCCAGCAUCUGCCAGGCGUCACAAAGGCCCGUUUCAGAGGAAGCGUCUGGCCAUGCAUGUUAAUGAAGACGCUCUUUUCACUGCCCAACUUGGCCAGACGUGUGCCCUCCACAGCCCAAAGACAAGUCCCAAACACAACAUCUGCUCCGGCCAAAUAAGCACAAGUUCACCAGUCCGGACGCCAAGCUCAGGUGGUGACUCAGACGCCUGGCACACAAAAAAAAAAAAAAAAAAAAAAAACCUUUUACAGCUCAGCAAGAGGCGCUGACUGGUUGCCAUGGCGACGGCACAGCUCCGAGCAGCGCUGGCCGGCUCUGAGGACGCCUCGGCCGUUUGAGGACUCCGUCUCCUGGGAGAAAAAAUGCUGGAGGAGGAACAACAGAGGAGAGAGAAGGAAGAGCUGAUGAUGAAAGGCUGGAGUGUGGGUUUUUAGUGCAGCGGCAUCCCAUCCUGGACCCUGUGCAUUAUUUGUUUCCAUGGUGAUCCUAAACGUGGCGGCGUGCAGCAGCAGCAGCAGGCGGAGUGGCCAUCUCAUGUGGCAUCUUCCCCUCUUUAAUCCCCAUAAUCCUCUCCUGCCUCUACUCUCACACCCCCAAUCGGAUUAAAGGCUACUGGAUCAAAGCCCUCUACCCUCCAAAUACACACCCACACCAUCGCACACAUGAACACACACCUGGCCUACAUAUCUACUUCCUCCUCCAAGAACAAACUGGACUGACAAGAGGACAACAAUGAAACAGAUUCACAGGCUGAAAAAACAUGUUGUUAGCCUCACUGCAUAAUUGGCUAACUCAAAUACACACAUGGACAAAAGUUGAAUUCAGGUGUUUCUUUUCUAACAGGCAUGUGGAACACAAAAGAAUAAUGACAAAUAUAACUCUACAUUGUUUUAAACAU